UGGGGAAUCAUGGUCAAUGGGCGAAAGCCUGAACCUGCGACGCCGCGUGAGUGAUGAAGGUCGUAAGAUCGUAAAACUCUUUUCAGGGAUCUUAACGCACAGCUGUCAACAACAGCUGUUUCUGACUCUCCCUGGAAGAAGCCCCAGCCAACUACGUGCCAGCUGCUGCGGUAAUACGUAGGGGGCGAGCGUUAUUCGGAAUUACUGGGUGUAAAGGGUAUGUAGGCGGCCCUUCAAGUCGCGUGUCAAAGUCCAGUGCUCAACGCUGGGUGUGCGCGCGAUACUGGCGGGCUUGAGGGCUGGAGAGGUGAGCGGAAUUCCCGGUGUAGUGGUAAAAUACGUAGAGAUCGGGAGGAACACCAGCGGCGCAGGCGGCUCACUAGACAGUUUCUGACGCUCAGAGACGAAAGCGUGGGGAGCAAACA
rnacentral:rRNA from 1 species